GGAUCCUGCAGUCAGGAAAGGCACAGAGAGGGAUAAUAUGGUAUUUCUCUGAGCUUUUGGACUGCCUUGCGGUCUCCAAGCAAGAACGCAGUGGAUUUCUUGUAAAUAUUUAAAGGAGAAGUCUGACUGUCCCUGUGCAGUGCUGUGCUGUAAAGCAGUAGGAAGGCGGCUGCCCAUGUGUUUUCACAGGGGAUGGCAUCACUCGCUGGGUGUGCAGCAAGGUGCAAGACACCAGGAGAAAAUGGGACGGGUAUUUCUUCCUCGUCUCCUCGGGCCCACGCUGCAGUACUGAUGGGAAUUUAAGAGUUCUGUUGAUAUGGAUGUUCAUUGCUGCACACCCAGGAUCCUCGUUUCCCUGGCUGCUCCCAACCUGAUGCCACCUGCAAACAUGACAAGAAUGCUUUCUCCAGGUUAUCGCUGCUGCCCGUGACAAAGUUGUGAAUGCAGAGGAAGGCUUCCCUCACAGCUUCAAAGAACAGAACUUCAUCAAAGCAUGGCCGUAAUUUAAAGUCUCUCCUGAACGGUAAUUAUCCCCAUAAACGAGCUGUGAUGGUUUGAAAACAUCUGUUUCCUUUUGGAGUCAGUGUACAUCUGCCCUUAAACAAGGUGAAAAUGCAGUGUGAUAACUCUGAGGACUGAAUUGCUGGGGUUUUUUGGGCUUGUUUUUUUUUCUGUAAUGCUGUGUUCCCUGCAAUUAGGUAACAGCUUUGAAUAUGAUUACUGCGUUUUUAUGUAUCAGUGCAUAUAUUAUUAGAACGUUUGCUUCCUUAAUCUCUCUGCUUUAUCUGAUAUUUUAGGCAUUAAACAAAUCAUAGGAUUGAUAU
rnacentral:lncRNA from 7 species